rnacentral:rRNA from 1 species
GAUGAACGCUGGCGGCGUGCCUAAUACAUGCAAGUCGAACGAAACUUCUUUAUCACCGAGUGCUUGCACUCACCGAUAAAGAGUUGAGUGGCGAACGGGUGAGUAACACGUGGGCAACCUGCCCAAAAGAGGGGGAUAACACUUGGAAACAGGUGCUAAUACCGCAUAACCAUAGUUACCGCAUGGUAACUAUGUAAAAGGUGGCUAUACUACCGCCUUUGGAUGGGCCCGCGGCGCAUUAGCUAGUUGGUAGGGUAAAGGCUUACCAAGGCAAUGAUGCGUAGCCGAAUUGAGAGGUUGGUCGGCCACAUUGGGACUGAGACACGGCCCAAACUCCUACGGGAGGCAGCAGUAGGGAAUCUUCCACAAUGGGCGAAAGCCUGAUGGAGCAACGCCGCGUGGGUGAAGAAGGUCUUCGGAUCGUAAAACCCUGUUGUUAGGGAAGAAAGUGCGUGAGAGUAACUGUUCACGUUUCGACGGUAUCUAACCAGAAAGCCACGGCUAACUACGUG